AUUGAAUGCUGGCGGCAGGCCUAACACAUGCAAGUCGAACGAGUGGCGGACGGGUGAGUAAUGUCUGGGAAACUGCCCGAUGGAGGGGGAUAACUACUGGAAACGGUAGCUAAUACCGCAUACCAUCGGAUGUGCCCAGAUGGGAUUAGCUCGUAGGUGGGGUAACGGCUCAACUAGGCGACGAUCCCUACCUGGUCUGAAAGGAUGAACAGCCACACUGGAACUGAGCCACGGUCCAGACUCCUACGGGAGGCAGCAGUGGGGAAUAUUGCACAAUGGGCGCAAGCCUGAUGCAGCAAUGCCGCGUGUAUGAAGAAGGCCUUCGGGUUGUAAAGGACUUUCAGCGAGGAGGCGUUACUCGCAGAAGAAGCACCGGCUAACUCCGUGCCAGCAGCCGCGGUAAUAC
rnacentral:rRNA from 1 species